rnacentral:sRNA from 1 species
UGGCAAUGUUAAAGCAACGACUACUUACUGUUUUUAUGCUUCGACAUACUUCUGUUAAAUUGGGGUGCAAUAGGCAUAAAAAGAAAAGCUGCGGAUGAAAUUGUGCACACUGCGGUAUGGAAACCCCUCCCUCAAAAAAAAAUUGUCUAUACAUGAGCGACCUCGCGAUAAUAAAUUAAUUGCAGAAUCAUUCUACUUUGUAUUGACUACGCCAAAGCGGUAAUGUCAAAUAUUGAUACUCCCUAGGGCAAUAUCGUCAACCACAAUCCGUAUCACCAUUUUAGAGAGUGAUAAUUAGCUUCUCACUAUAUACUCUAUCUGAGAGCCCCUCCCGCAAGGGCUAGCACGUAGGUUUUGUCAGUGGCACCAACAAUGGCUUCAAUCGCGCACAUCUUGAGGUGCGUGGGGAGGUUCUAUACUGGAUAAGAACGAGUUCACAGGAUGGCAGCUUGAAUAUCGGCCUCUGCAACGUCCGGCACAACUGGCUCCUAUAUCACCAGUCUGUCACGAUCGCAAUUUGCAAAAGUAUUUGAUUUCACGGUCAACUGUCUUCUCUAUUGCUUAUCGUUUCAUCAGCGAGAAAGCUCACAUAUCCAUCUCCCUCUUUGUCGUUACUGGUAUAUACCUAGGUACUCUUGCUCCUGAUGGCCAUCUAGCGGGUCUGAACCAUCGGCACACCCCAUGUCGCGUCUUGUUACCCUCGUAUAGUUCUUUUGCUCGCGUGAUGGGCCGCUGGACGCAAGUUUGCGAUGGUUGUCCUUGAUGAUAAUUACGCCUGUGUUCGGCUUCAUUAACGGCGCCUUGAUUGCCAAAUUUGGUACUACAUGCCGUGGUAUUUGGUGGGCGACCUGUUGACAGUAGCAGAAUCCGUCCUCAUGCCGUUAUGUAUGUCGCUGAGAAAGGCAUCAUGAGAGCCGAGUUUACGGAUACAAUGCACAGAGAGAAGUUUGCGUAAGGAUGAUCUGCCAGGCCUCUUUCCAAUUACACAAAUCGUGGUGGACCUAGGAAAGGUCGUACCGGCCAUUGGAUUCAUAACAUUAGUCUGGGGAGUACGGAACUACUGUUGCUAUUGUCGUUGCUACUCCAUCCUGUUCAACGGCCGCAAGGACCAGAUUGUGCAGGCUGCGUGACCUCUGGUCUGUUUAUUAGUCACAUACCUCGGCUCAUCACCGGCUUCUUCCUGCAUUGGUGUUGGUGAUGCUAUCUAACAUGUCUUCUGAAAUUAUGGACUUAAGUCCUGUCAGAUUGCGUUAUUCCGUUGCCAAAAUCUACAGCAAGGGGCGUCAAUCAAGAUUCAUCCGCCCAAAAUUUGCAGGCCACCGACACAAGCAGGCAGCAUUCCAAUUGACCCUGAAUCCGGCAGCUAAGGGAGGAUCAGCCGGACGUCACACUUAAAAUUAACCACAGCUUGAGCUCAAUGGACGGAUCCCUUCAAACCUACACAACAAUGCACUUCUACAUAAUUGCAACACAGAGCGGGAGGCUGGCACAAAACCUAGCUGUCAAUGAGAUGAAACAGACACGUGAGAAACCAACUUGGAAACGUAGAUUGUCUUGAUAAAUUCUCAAAUACACAUGGCUAUACUUGACAAACACUUGAGAUUUUGUAUACAAUAACAAGAUUGGUAUUAGCAACUUAAACUAGAUUGAGUCUCUUGGCCCAACUUCCUAAUUGAUGAAGGGCAUAUGCGAUGAAACGGUUAGAUAUAGGAAUCAACAUCACCCAUAAAUAAGGAGGCGACGAUUUCAAGCAAGACCUAGAGCUUUCGCUUCAAGAGUGACAAUAUCAGGUAGAAGCUCACGGGCAGCUAGUCGAUGCGGAUUCCAACCAAGAAGUUUCCUCGCACGAAUCGCAUGGGCUCUCGAAUUAGUUCCCCAUGAGAAAGGCCCGAAUGCAAAUAAAUCUGCUGUUUGCUUGCCAUCCAGAAUUUCCACCUCUGGGGAGGCGAUAAAUCCUUUCUCAAAAGCAAUCUUCGCUACUGCCUUCUCCACAUCGCCCCAAACGAACGACCCAUUUUCUACAAAAUAAUACCCUUCCUUUCCCCAAGUCGCCUUCCCGCCGCCAGCAGCCGCAGCCUCGCCAAGGAGGAGGAAUAGAUCACUCAAAUCAUGAACAUGGAUCUGGUGCCAGACAUUCUCGCCUUUGCCUACUUGAAGCCCCUUCUUUCUCUUAAGAACAUAUUUUGCCAGAUUAUAUAUUUGAGCACUUCGAGUAUUUCCCGGCCCUCGCCCGGGGCCAUAUAUAGUGGGUGGGCAAACAAUGGCUGUCUUCACCCUAUCGGCAGCAGCCUCACCGACUCCCAAGACGAUCUUGUCGACGUCUCGAUGGAAAGCUUCGUCGGGAAGAGACGUCACAUCACCAAUACCGUCCCAGUCAUCGUAUUCUUUCGGACGAAGAUCUCCGUAGGUCGAAUUGCCUAAAUCCUCGAAUGUGAGAAUACCCGUUCCCGAAGUGUGGAUCCAGUAGCCUGGGCGAUCGGAUGUAUGGGAAGCUAUGCCCUUUGCAAUGGCUUGUGACGAAGCAACAUGGUCACAGUCUGCAAAGUCUGUUCAAAUAAAACAAAUUGAAAAAUUAAAAAAAAAAAAAAAAUUAGCAAGCAUUUCCUAAAAUAUUAGAAGCAUGCCAUGCAAGGGAGGCCGUACGGUAGACGAUAUCUGCCUUUCGUGCCUCUUCUUCAAGAAUCGUAGCGGAAUCCAGAUCCCCGUACACAAGUUUGGUCUUUGGAUAUUUGCUAGUAACCAACGCGCCUUUCUCUUGAUUGCGGACGAGGGCAGUGAACUCCCAAUCCGGAUGGGCUUCAUUG